rnacentral:rRNA from 1 species
UACGUAGGGUGCGAGCGUUAAUCGGAAUUACUGGGCGUAAAGGGCUCGUAGGCGGUCUGUUGCGUCGGGAGUGAAAACUCAGGGCUUAACCCUGAGCCUGCUUCCGAUACGGGCAGACUAGAGGUAUGCAGGGGAGAACGGAAUUCCUGGUGUAGCGGUGAAAUGCGCAGAUAUCAGGAGGAACACCGGUGGCGAAGGCGGUUCUCUGGGCAUUACCUGACGCUGAGGAGCGAAAGUGUGGGGAGCGAACAGG